rnacentral:rRNA from 1 species
GGCUCAGAGCGAACGUUAGCGGCAGGCCUAACACAUGCAAGUCGCACGAGAAAAGGGCUUCGGCCUCUAGUAAAGUGGCGGACGGGUGAGUAACACGUGGGUAAUGUACCCCUCGGCGGGGGAUAACAACCCGAAAGGGUUGCUAAUACCGCAUAUGUCGAGAGAUUUUUCAGAGUCUCUCGAGAAAGGUGGCCUCUUCAUGAAAGCUACCACCGAAGGAUCAGCCCGCGGCCCAUCAGCUAGUUGGCGGUGUAAUAGACCACCAAGGCAAAGACGGGUAGCUGGUCUGAGAGGAUGAUCAGCCACACUGGAACUGAGACACGGUCCAGACUCCUACGGGAGGCUGCAGUGGGGAAUAUUGGGCAAUGGGCGAAAGCCUGACCCAGCCAUGCCGCGUGAGUGAUGAAAGGCCUUCGGGUCGUAAAAGCUCUGUGGGGAGGGAAGAAAAUACCUUGGCUAAUAUCCAAGGGAACUGACGGUACCUCCUUAGCAAGCACCGGGCUAACUCCGUGCCAGCAGCCGCGGUAAUACGGAGGGUGCAAACGUUGCUCGGAAUCAUUGGGCGUAAAGCGCACGUAGGCGGUUCGUUAAGUCGGAUGUGAAAGCCCUGGGCUCAACCCAGGAAGAGCAUUCGAAACUGGCGGACUGGAGUAUGGAAGAGGGUCGCGGAAUUCCCGGUGUAGAGGUGAAAUUCGUAGAUAUCGGGAGGAACACCAGUGGCGAAGGCGGCGACCUGGGCCAAUACUGACGCUGAGGUGCGAAAGCGUGGGGAGCAAAAAGGAUUAGAUACCCUGGUAGUCCACGCCGUAAA